rnacentral:rRNA from 1 species
UACAGAGGGUGCGAGCGUUAAUCGGAAUUACUGGGCGUAAAGCGCGCGUAGGCGGCUUUGCAAGCCGGAUGUGAAAUCCCCGGGCUUAACCUGGGAACUGCAUUCGGGACUGCAUUGCUAGAGUAUGGGAGAGGGAAGUGGGAUUUCAGGUGUAGCGGUGAAAUGCGUAGAUAUCUGAAGGAACAUCAGUGGCGAAAGCGACUUCCUGGACCAAUACUGACGCUCAUGUGCGAAAGCGUGGGGAGCAAACAGG